rnacentral:tRNA from 1 species
UCCCUGGUAGUCCAGUGAUUGAAUCUCUGCACUUCCACUGCAGGGGCACAGGUUCGAUCCCUGGUCAGGGAA